ACGAACGCUGGCGGCGUGCUUAACACCUGCAAGUCGUACGGUAAGGCCCUUUCGGGGGUACACGAGUGGCGAACGGGUGAGUAACACGUGAGUAACCUGCCCACAACUUUGGGAUAACGCUAGGAAACUGGUGCUAAUACUGGAUAUGUGCUCCUGCUGCAUGGUGGGGGUUGGAAAGCUCCGGCGGUUGUGGAUGGACUCGCGGCCUAUCAGCUUGUUGGUGGGGUAGUGGCCUACCAAGGCGGCGACGGGUAGCCGGCCUGAGAGGGUGACCGGCCACAUUGGGACUGAGAUACGGCCCAGACUCCUACGGGAGGCAGCAGUGGGGAAUAUUGCACAAUGGGCGCAAGCCUGAUGCAGCAACGCCGCGGGCGGGAUGACGGCCUUCGGGUUGUAAACCGCUUUCAGCAGGGACGAAGCUUUUUGUGACGGUACCUGCAGAAGAAGCACCGGCUAACUACGUG
rnacentral:rRNA from 1 species